GGAGCUUAAAAGAAAUGUGGAAGUUCAGGAAAGACAUCAGGCGAAGGAAAGCUCAACCUUAGAAAAAGCUUGUACUUGUUUAGCUUAGCCCAAUUUAAUCCCGGCACUAAGCAUUAAUUUCAGUAACGCGCUCGUUGGAAAAUCCGGUACGAAUUAUCACCAUCGAUGGCGACUGACUCACUGCCCAACCCAAAUAAGCGCCUCAAAUCCCUUCUCUCC
rnacentral:misc_RNA from 1 species